rnacentral:rRNA from 1 species
UACGUAGGGUGCAAGCGUUGUCCGGAAUUAUUGGGCGUAAAGAGCUCGUAGGCGGUUUGUCGCGUCUGGUGUGAAAAUCCAGGGCUUAACCCUGGACCUGCAUCGGGUACGGGCAGACUAGAGUGCGGUAGGGGAGAUCGGAAUUCCUGGUGUAGCGGUGAAAUGCGUAGAUAUCAGGAGGAACACCGGUGGCGAGGGCGGGACUCUGGGUCGAUACUGACGCUGAGGAGCGAAAGCGUGGGGAGCGAACAGG